rnacentral:rRNA from 1 species
UACGAAGGGGGCUAGCGUUGCUCGGAAUACUAGGCGUAAAGGGCGCGUAGGCGGCCUUCUAAGUCGGACGUGAAAUCCCGUCGGCUUAACCGAGGAACUGCGUCCGAUACUGAAAGGCUUGAAUCCGGGAGAGGGAUGUGGAAUUCCAGGUGUAGCGGUGAAAUGCGUAGAUAUCUGGAGGAACACCGGUGGCGAAGGCGGCAUCCUGGACCGGCAUUGACGCUGAGGCGCGAAAGCUAGGGGAGCAAACGGGG